ACUCAAAUGAAUUGACGGGGACCCGCACAAGCGGUGGAUCGUGUUCUUUAAUUCGAUGAUAAACGAAGAACCUUACCAGGGUUUGACAUCCUUGGAAUUUCUAUGAAAGUAGAGAGUGCUUUAUUGAGCCAAGUGACAGGUGUUGCAUGGCCGUCGUCAGCUCGUGUCGUGAGAUGUUUGGUUAAGUCCAUUAACGAGCGCAACCCUUGUGAUUAGUUGUAUUUUUCUAAUCAGACUGCCCCGGUAACGGGGAGGAAGGAGGGGAUGAUGUCAGGUCAGUAUUACCCUUACACCCUGGGCUAGAAACACGAUACAAUGGUUAGUACAAUGCGCAGCGAAGCCGCGAGGUGGAGCAAAUCGCAUCAAAGCUAAUCUCAGUUCGGAUUGGAGGCUGAAACUCGCCUCCAUGAAGUCGGAAUCGCUAGUAAUCGCAGAUCAGCAAGCUGCGGUGAAUACGUUCCCGGGUCUUGCACACACCGCCCGU
rnacentral:rRNA from 1 species